rnacentral:rRNA from 1 species
UAUAAAUUUAAUUUUGGUUUAUUAAAUUAUUUAUUUAAUUAAUAUAUAUAUAAUUUUUAAAGAAAUAAAUUUUUUAAAUAAAAUUUUAUUUUUAUAAUUUUAAUAUAAAAAUUUAAAAAAUUAAUAAUUUAAUAUUUAGUAAAUUAAUUAAUUUUAUAAUAAUUUUGUGCCAGCAUUAGCGGUUAUACAAAAUAAAAAAUAUAAUUUAAUUUUAUUUAUAAUAAUUUUUGAAUAUUUUUUUUAUUAAUAAAUUUUAAAAAAGGUAAAAUUUUUUAAAAUUUUAAAUAAAUUUUAUUUAUUAAAUUAUUUUUAAAUUUUUUUAUAUAAACUAGGAUUAGAUACCCUAUUAUUAAUUAUUAAAUUAUUAAAUAAAAGAAAUUUUUUUAAAAAUUAAAAAAUUUGACGGUAAUUUAAUUUAUUUAGAGGAAUAUGUUUUAUAAUUGAUAAUCCACGAUAGGAAAAACUUAAAUUUUAAAGUUUAUGUAUGUUUGUUAGAAAAAAAUAUUUUAAGAUUUGUUAAUUUUUAAAAAAUUAUUUUUAAUUUUAUUUCAGAUCAAUAUGUAGUAAAUUUAAGAAAUUAAUGUAUUAUAAAAAAAUAAAUUUAAAUAAAAAAUUUUUAAUAUUUUUGAUUAUAAGAUUUAAAAGUAAAUAAAUUUAAUUAAAUUUUUUGAAUAAAAUUUUAAAUUAUGUACAAAUUGCCCGUCACUUCUAAUUAAUUAGAAUAAGUCGUAACAAAGUAAGGGUACUGGAAAGUGUUCUUAGUAAUAAU